UACCGUGAAACUGCGAAUGGCUCAUUAAAUCAGUUAUCGUUUAUUUGAUAGUACCUUACUACUUGGAUAACCGUGGUAAUUCUAGAGCUAAUACAUGCUGAAAACCCCAACUUCGGGAGGGGUGUAUUUAUUAGAUAAAAAACCAACGCCCUUCGGGGCUUCUUGGUGAUUCAUGAUAACUUUACGGAUCGCAUGGCCUUGCGCCGGCGACGGUUCAUUCAAAUUUCUGCCCUAUCAACUUUCGAUGGUAAGGUAUUGGCUUACCAUGGUUUCAACGGGUAACGGGGAAUUAGGGUUCGAUUCCGGAGAGGGAGCCUGAGAAACGGCUACCACAUCCAAGGAAGGCAGCAGGCGCGCAAAUUACCCAAUCCCGACACGGGGAGGUAGUGACAAUAAAUACUGAUACAGGGCUCUUUUGGGUCUUGUAAUUGGAAUGAGUACAAUUUAAACCUCUUAACGAGGAACAAUUGGAGGGCAAGUCUGGUGCCAGCAGCCGCGGUAAUUCCAGCUCCAAUAGCGUAUAUUAAAGUUGUUGCAGUUAAAAAGCUCGUAGUUGAAACUUGGGUCUGGCUGGCAGGUCCGCCUCACCGCGUGUACUUGUCCGGCCGGGCCUUCCUUCUGGAGAACCUCAUGCCCUUCACUGGGCGUGUUGGGGACCAGGACUUUUACUUUGAAAAAAUUAGAGUGUUCAAAGCAGGCCUUUGCUCGAAUACGUUAGCAUGGAAUAAUAGAAUAGGACGUGCGGUCCUAUUUUGUUGGUUUCUAGGACCGCCGUAAUGAUUAAUAGGGACAGUCGGGGGCAUCAGUAUUCAAUUGUCAGAGGUGAAUUCUUGGAUUAUUGAAGACUAACUACUGCGAAAGCAUUUGCCAAGGAUGUUUCAUUAAUCAGUGAACGAAAGUUA
rnacentral:rRNA from 1 species